UAAAAAUCGCGUGAAUAUAAAAAGAAAUUGUGUCCAGGAGUGAUCAUAGCUGUCCGAAUAUCAUAAAUGGCUCAGAAUUGGCGUUGGAGGCAAACAAAGUAAACAAAAGAGAUGGAUGCUUUUCACACUCCUCGAACGGCCAGUAGCACCAAUGGUAGUGGUGAAAAUGUCCGGGUGGACUCCCAAUAGCCAGUCUCGCAAUGCAAUAAUUACAAAUUACCAUCGAUCAAUGACUUAUUCCGCGUAGUAAUCGGAUAAAAUUAUUAUCGAAAACCUUUUUCAAUCAACUUCGAAUUUAUAAGUGAAGAUUUGGGCCGAUCAAAUCAGUUUAUGGAACGAACAUCAUCGAUUGGUCAAAAAGACGUUUGCGCCAAAACAGAAAUGCAAUAUGUCGUAAGUACUUCUUCAUUGAUAAGAAAUGAAUUAAUGCAAGUUUCAAGAACAUCAUCAUGUUCUGCGUACAGUAUAACAUUAAAUUUCUCAUUUGCAGAUGAAUUUGACCAGCAAUCAUAAAAAAAGAAUUAAAAAGGUGUUUCGAAACUUUAACAUCGAUUUUCUCAAAACAUGCCAAGUGGUUCAUACGACCUAAUCAAAACAAACUCUAGAAAUAAAUUAAUAAAAGCAGUAUCAUCUUCAAAUUAUUCUGAAGAAUUUUAUUGUCAACGAUGGUUGACUUUACUCUAAAAAUCAUCAUCACCUUCAUCGUCUUCAAGACCUUCGUCAUUAGCAAUCGCACUUUCACUCGCCAUUGCUAUUUGCGACGAAUCAAAGACCGCUUUACGACUCCUCUUAUGGUCGUCACUACCUCCAGAAGUUCCACCAAAUUUCUCAGCUGUUCGUUUCCGCAGCUGUUCUAUACCGUCAUCAUCAGCCUCGGCCCACUCCAACACCAAUCGACGUCCGUACAAAUGUGUGCUCUUGCAAAGUGCCCCGAAGGCCUUUUUUGCGUCGUCUUCCACCAAAAAAUCAACGAAACAAAACCCUCGAUGACUUUCAUCCGCACCGGCUACUAAUUUUCGAGGCAGUCGAAGAGUUUUUAGUUCACCAAAAACGC